UGUCGGAUUGUUCAUAUCGGACAUUCGACAAUGAUGGUGAUGCUAACUCACUAGUCUCGGUUAGCCUUAGUGGUUUCUCGGGUCUAGUAUAUAUAUUGUAUUAUAUGCUUAUGGUAACGGGCGGGUGUUGUGGAAGUGAUGUUUAAAAUAAGAAUUCACAAUAAUGAUUGAUAUUAAAGUAUAGUACUAGUACUUUCAUGAUCAUGUAUAUGCAUUUGAUAAUUGUUUGGUUUAUUAUUGAUUGUGUUGUGAUUCUAGAUUCACUGAGUAAACUAGUUGCUCAUGACUCAUUCGUGUGUGCAGGUAACCCUUAGGCGGGAGACACUUUACUCUUUUGGACGGAAGGAGCGGCCAACCAGCGGUAGUAUUUUGUUGUCCUUGCAACGUACGUUUUGAUGUAUAUUUACUUAAAAUGUUGUUUGGCGAUAGGCCGUAGGGUAAACUAUAACAGUUUGUAAGAUGUUUAAAGUAAAUAAAUAAUGUAUAAAAGAUGUUUAUAAAUCACGAGUUCCAAAUGAUAUUUGUCCUUGUCCGGGACGAACUAACUAUCGAAUAUUGCUUUAUCGGGUUGAAAAGCCUAGAGUAAUAUCUGAUAGGAGUGUCUGUGUUCUUUGGUUGUUGGUCUAAGGUGAUCAGAUUUAUUUCGAGAAACUCGGGUCAACCAUCAGGGAACAUCGACCGUGUCAUUUCCGGUUAUCUACAGUCGGGGGCAUUCGUAUUUCAUAGUCAGAGGUGAAAUUCUUGGAUUGAUGAAAGACGAACAACUGUGAAAGCAUUUGCCAAGGAUGUUUUCAUUAAUCAAGAACGCAAGUUGGGGGCUCGAAGACGAUCAGAUACCGUCCUAGUUUCAACCAUAAAUGAUGCCGACCAGGGAUCAGCGGAUGUUACUUUUAGGACUCCGCUGGCACCUUAUGAGAAAUCAAAGUUUUUGGGUUCCGGGGGGAGUAUGGUUGCAAGGCUUAAACUUAAAGGAAUUGACGGAAGGGCACCACAAGGAGUGGAGCCUGCGGCUUAAUUUGACUCAACACGAGGAAACUUACCAGGUCCAGACAUAAUAAGGAUUGACAGACUGAGAGCUCUUUCUUGAUUCUAUGGGUGGUGGUGCAUGGCCGUUCUUAGUUGGUGGAGUGAUUUGUCUGGUUAAUUCCGUUAACGAACGAGACCUCAGCCUGCUAACUAGCUACGUGGAGGCAUCCCUUCACGGCCGGCUUCUUAGAGGGACUAUGGCCGUUUCGGCCAAGGAAGUUUGAGGCAAUAACAGGUCUGUGAUGCCCUUAGAUGUUCUGGGCCGCACGUGCGAUACACUGAUGUAUUCAACAAGUUCACACCUUGGCCGACAGGCCCGGGUAAUCUUUGAAAUUUCAUCGUGAUGGAGAUAGAUCAUUGCAAUUGCUGGUCUUCAACGAGGAAUUCCUAGUAAGCGCGAGUCAUCAGCUCGCGUUGACUACGUCCCUGCCAUUUGUACACACCGCCCGUCGCUCCUACCGAUUGAAUGAUCCGGUGAAGUGUUUGGAUAGCGGCGACGUGGGUGGUUCGCCGUCUGCGACGUCCCGAGAAGUCCACUAAACCUUAUCAUUUAAAGGAAGGAGAAGUCGUAACAAGGUUUCUGUAGGUGAACCUGCGGAAG
rnacentral:rRNA from 1 species